UGAUUCUUUUCCCUUUGACUAACACAUUUAUGAAAAUGAUUUAUGAGAGUAGAAAUAUUUUGAGUUCCUUCAAAUGCAUUUCUAGCUUUACAAUAUCAUAAGAAGAAAGCAUAUAAAAAGCAUGGUUGGUGGGACGAAUUAAGAAAACCAGUAAAGAGCAGCAUUGAGCACGCAUACAAAAAGGUAACUGGAGAAACAAACAAACAAACAAACUAAAAAGCAAAUAUUACACUGAUCUUAAUUAUAAUAAGAAAAGGUAGUAAAAAAGGAGAGACUAUGUGAGAAGAAACGAAAAUACAUAAUAGUACAAAAUUAGGAUUUCAAGAAGAUAGAAUGGGAAAAUCAAGUGGUUACGAGAGUUGUGCGCAUCAUGUUCUUAAAUUCACUGAAAUCAACACGACCAUCAUGGUUGGUGUCAAAAGAUACAAUCAUCUUAUUAACUCUAUCAAUCUCAUUCCCUUCGUUGAGUCCAAGCUUUCCUAAUACUGCUUGCAAUUCCUUUGCAGAUAUAUAACCAUCACCAUUUUCAUCAAAUACUUUGAACGCUUCACGCAGGUCUGACUCUUCUUGUUCCUCAUUCUCCUCCAUGUCUCCAAAUCCAAAGUAUGUAUCCCCUAAAGACUCAUGAAGUGCUACAAAAUCUUCAUAAGUUAGACCUUCUUGCCUGGCUUAAUGAAGGAACGUGUGAUAGACUCUAGCUCUGUGAGGUCAGUAUGAAGGCCUAAGAGGUUCAAGGCCUGACUUAUUUCUUUAAUGGUUAUCAUGGAAUCUCCAUUCUUGUCAAACAUGUCGAAGAUUCGCCUGAGACGUAGUGAAUUGAGACUUGGGCUUCGAAGGCGGAAUGAUGAAGAUGUCAUGUUCUUCAUUGGUUGUCCCAUACUCUCACACAAUUGUAUUCAAUGUUGUGGACUCAGGGAGGGACACAAGUGGCUGGGAAAUGGAGAUGUAUAGAUUUAUGAUUGGAAAAGUAGUAUUAAUGUUUAGAUAAACUAUAUUAAUAGCAAUGGUCCAUACUUAUUCUAUCUUCAUCGUGUGUGCUCCUAUGCUAUAUUAAUAAGGGAUAAUGCGUGUUUGUUGGCCUGCCAAAACGGACUCAUUCUCAACCAUAAUGACAAUAUUCUAUAAAUUGUUU